CUCACCAUGGAGUUUGUGCUGGGCUGGGUUUUCCUGGUUGCUCUUUUAAAAGGUGUCCAGUGUGAUGUGCAGCUGGUGGAGUCUGGGGGAGACCUGGUGAAGCCUGGAGGGUCCCUGAGACUCACCUGUGUGGCCUCUGGAUUCACCUUCAGUAGCUAUGAAAUGAACUGGGUUCGCCAGGCUCCAGGGAAGGGGCUGCAGUGGGUCUCAGCAAUUAGUAGUGGAGGUAGCACAUACUACGCAGACUCCGUGAAGGGCCGAUUCACCAUCUCCAGAGACAACGCCAAGAACACGCUGUAUCUGCAGAUGAACAGCCUCAAGACCGAGGACACGGCCACAUAUUACUGUGCGAGAGACACAGUGAGGGGACAUCACUGGGACCAGGGAGACCUGGUGAAGCCUGGGGGGUCCCUGAGACUCACCGGUGUAGCCUCUGGAUUCACCUUCAGUAGUUCCAGCAUGAACUGGGUCCGCCAGGCUCCAGGGAAGGGGCUGCAGUGGGUCGCGUAUAUUAGUAGUAGUGGAGGUGCAGCGUACUACGCAGACUCCAUGAAGGGCCGAUUCACCAUCUCCAGAGACAACGCCAAGAACACGCUGUAUCUGCAGAUGAACAGCCUGAAGACCGAGGACACGGCCACAUAUUACUGAAAGACUAUACUUGCAGAUGG